AGUGAACGUUGGCGGCGUGGAUUAGGCAUGCAAGUCGAGCGAGAACCGUAGCAAUACGGGGACAGCGGCGAAAGGGACAGUAAUGUGUAGGUACCUACCCCGAGGUCUGGGAUAGCUGCGGGAAACUGCAGGUAAUACCGGAUAAUGUCUUCGGACCAAAGGUGUGAUUCCACCUUGGGAGGGGCCUGCAUCCUAUUAGCUAGUUGGCGGGGUAAUGGCCCACCAAGGCAACGAUGGGUAGCGGGUGUGAGAGCACGACCCGCGUCAUUGGGACUGUGACACUGCCCAGACACCUACGGGUGGCUGCAGUGGGGGGUCUUCGGCAAUGGGCGCAAGCCUGACCGAGCGACGCCGCGUGCGGGAUGAAGGCCUUCGGGUUGUAAACCGCUGUCGUAGAGGAGGAAAUGCAGGGGGGUUCUCCCUUCUGUUUGACCUAUUCUAGGAGGAAGGACGGGCUAAGUUCGUGCCAGCAGCCGCCGUAA
rnacentral:rRNA from 1 species